CAAACCCUAAACAACAAGCUCGUGUCCGUUUAGACCAGCUUGGUUAUGGGCGAUCGUCCCCGCCUCUCGCGCGCGGACCCGCCUUAAAUCCAUUGGCGGCCGGCACCUCUUAGGCUACACGCGCAGCAGAAUUGCGCCUCGCACCUAGGGAGCCGGCGCUCCAGCAAGCGCUUCUACGCACCGA
rnacentral:misc_RNA from 1 species